GCGAUAGGCUGUCGGAGAAUAACAAGGAGCCGGAACGGAAACCGAGACAGGAGCUCCCGGCGGCGGCCGUGAGGAAAAGCCGCUCCCCGUUGCGAGGAAUGUGAUCGUUGGAAUCCAUGCUGUGGGCCUGCAGAACCUUUUCUUCACUCACACAGCAAGCUGAGAUUCUCACAGGAGAGUAACCGACGCAUAUGAAAGCAAUCGAAGGAGCGCGUUCGUCAAGGCGGAAAACAGAAACGGCUUGAGGAAGGGAAAAUAUAUUUUUGAGUAUGUGAGUCCGAAUGACAACAGCCUCACCGCCUCUGCAGCCGAGCAUCUGGCCUCGGCUCUCGGCAUUAACCCCUCGUUGACUGCACUCUCGCUGGGCGACAAUAAUCUGGGAGAUUCGGGAGUGAAGCUGCUGUCCGAAGCUCUGAAGACCACAGACUGUAACAUACAGGAAUUACGGCUGAACAACAAUGGUCUCACACUGUCAUGCGCGGAGGAUCUCGCCUCUGCGCUCAUCACAAGCGACACGUUGACGGGACUGUACCUGAAUGACAAUAAUCUGGGAGAUUCCGGGGUGAAAGUGCUGAACGAGGCGCUGAUGCAUCCAGACUGCAAGAUAGAGAAACUGGGACUUGCCGGCACUGCGCUGAGACUCCAGCCUCUCUCUCAUCCCUCCCCCUCCUUCGUCCCUCCCUCCUUCUCCUUCUCCCUCUCUCACACCCUGAGACUUUCCGGCACUGGUCUCACUGACUCCUGCUCGGAAGACCUGAUGUCCAACCUCAGCACCAAUCCCAAGAUGAAGGACGUGAACCUGGGGUCGAGUUUCUCCUCAGACCAACUCAGUUGCUCAUUCUCCUCGACUGAUCAUCAGGAGUCUGAUGUGGAGACAUCUGCGGCAGAAUCUGUUUAAACAUAUCGGACAGGAACGGCCGUGGCUGCUGCAGGAAUCUGGAUCGUGCAAAAGUGUUGGACCCGCUGUUUUGGCAUUGACGGUUGCCUUGUAUAAAAAAAAACCUUCUGGUUAUACGAUGAUUUUUUAAUGUGUCUUUUUGUAUUUGUUUUUACUAUAUUCAUCUUGUUAACCCAA